GGUAUACUAUGUAGACUUGAUAUUCAGAUAUACCAUGUAGACUUGAUAUUCAGGUAUACCAUGUAGACUAGAUAUUCAGGUAUUCAGAUAUACCAUGUAGACUUGAUAUUCAGGUAUUCAGAUAUACCAUGUAGACUUGAUAUUCAGGUAUACCAUGUAGACUUGAUAUUCAGGUAUUCAGAUAUACCAUGUAGACUUGAUAUUCAGGUAUUCAGAUAUACCAUGUAGACUUGAUAUUCAGGUAUACCAUGUAGACUUGAUAUUCAGGUAUU